rnacentral:tRNA from 1 species
GAGGGUGAAGCUUUUGUAUUGAAGUAUUGGGUUUUUGCCCCAACUAAGCCGCAAGGUCGCCUUUC